AACGAACGUUAGCGGUGUGGAUUAGGCAUGCAAGUCGCGCGCGAAAGUCUUCGGACGAGUAAAGCGGCGAAAGGGUGAGUAACACGUAACCAACGUACCCUUCAGACUGGGAUAACCACUGGAAACGGUGGGUAAUACCGGAUGGUCCCCCCGACGGCAUCGUCGGGAGGGUAAACGGCGGCUUCGGCUGCUGCUGGGGGAGCGGGUUGCGGCCUAUCAGCUUGUUGGUGGGGUAAUGGCCCACCAAGGCAUCGACGGGUAGCGGGUCUGAGAGGAUGAUCCGUCACACUGGGACUGAGACACUGCCCAGACUCCUACGGGAGGCUGCAGUCGAGAAUCUUCCGCAAUGGGCGAAAGCCUGACGGAGCGACACCGCGUGCAGGAUGAAGGCUCUAGGGUUGUAAACUGCUGUCACGCUAUAGGAAUGCCAUGGUGUGAAUAGUGUCAUGGUUGACCAAAGCGAGAGGAAGAGCCGGCUAACUCCGUGCCAGCAGCCGCGGUAAUACGGAGGGCUCAAACGUUGUUCGGAAUCACUGGGCAUAAAGCGCACGUAGGCGGCUUGUUAAGUCGGAUGUGAAGGCCCUCGGCCCAACCGGGGAACUGCAUCCGAAACUGGCAGGCUGGAGG
rnacentral:rRNA from 1 species